ACUUGAAUGCAGUUUCAACUUAUACAGGGAAUUUGACAUUUUUUUUUUCAAUUACCAACCCAAAUGAGAAUGAGAUGCUCACUUUUCAAUGCUACAAGGGGAUGAAUUCUCAUAAUCAUUCUGGAUCAUGUUACCUAUGUGAACCUUAUAAUGGGAUAGCAAGGGACAGGAACUGCAUUCCACAUUCCACUGCCACCAAACAAACAAGAAUCUCUGAACUGCAAUUUAAGUAACGAUGAUUGUUGCACUACACUAGAGAAAAAAAUGGGGGCAAGGUUUCUUAACAGUCCAUGACCUUGAAGUGGGUUGAUAGAAGGAAUGAUGGAAUGAAAGUUCCAAAUUUGGGACAAAACCAUUAUCUCUGCCUCUAGAUUAAAUUCCAUUAUCCACUAAAAGAAUACUCUUUCUCCUAGCCUAGCCAGCAUUUUAACGAAGUUCAAGAAAAUUACUAAAUCUCUAAAAAAGAGGCUUCUAUCUCUAACAUCUCAUAAAUAAAUUACAAAAUAACAAAAAAAAACCUUCUCAUCAAAUUUUUUUUUCUAAACCUUCUUAUUUACCUAUCAAAAAAAGAAAAAAAAGAAAGAAAAAAAAAUUACAAAAUAACAAAGACUUCCAAUAACCUCAAUUCAUCCUUCUCAUCAAAUUCCUCUGACAUAAACCUUGUGUAGCAAACUACCGCAGUCUUCAUAAAAGCCUAACAUUCCAUAUGAUAUUCAGAUAUUAUUCCCAGAUCAUGCAUGAUGCUAAAAUAUCAAUAAAGUUACAUAAAAGUAUGAUAUUGACUACUAAGAUCAAAGCAUUGUGUGUCCAAGUUAAUAUACAUUUAAGCAGCUUUUGAAGAAAGGAAACAAUUUACUUGGUUAAUAAUGGGUGCAAAUAUUACACAACAAAGUUAUCACUUAGAUGUAUCUAUACUGGUAUAAAUUCAAUAACCUCAGACAAAAUCCAAGUAGCAAUAUUCAACCACCUAGGAGAGCUUCAGGUCCGGCUCAAAUGUCAAUGGGUUGAGACGGGGAUGAGGUAGGCCCUAGUUUGAUUCCAUAUACCAAAUAGGGGAAAAAACAUUAGCUAUAAAAAAGAUAGACAUUGAAUCACCCAAGAAAAGAAAAGAAGCUGAUUUGUAGCAGCGCUUAACUUAGGAACACAGAGAGAACUAUGAGAGGCAAGUUUUAUCCCAUGCUGGAACUCAGCAGGAAGGUGUGGCACCAAUUACAGGGCCCAAUAAAAAAUAGGAACGAAGACAGGUCAACUUGUACUAUCCCAGAUGAUUUUUUUUUUUUUUUUUUUGAUAAGUAAGCACAAAUUGUAUUGUACUAUCCCAGAUGAUAGCCAUUAUAAAACACUAAACCAUACAUAGAAGGCUUGGAAAUGAACAAACUUCGACAGUGUUGCUUGUACUUUCCUAAUUCUAACUUCUUAGAUAAAAUGUUUGUGAAGGAAAAGAAGCAACCAGCUUCAUUAAAAAUUUUAAUUUAGUUUCUUCAUUCCUCCUGAUAGCAUAAUCUAUCACAACUGCAUUGAAGCUUAUUUAUAAGUGAAUCAUUCAAAUGGAAAACUACUAGGCAAUGCUGUGAAGAUAAGAUAUGCUUGAAAACAGGGAAAAUUUGUGAAUCGAGAAGAAUUAUCAUUUACAAAGCAAAAUUGAAACUUUCCAAAAAGAAGAGAGCUCAUAUAUGUCAUUUUUAUUUGAAAUGUACAAUACAAAAAAGCCACAUGCCCACCAAAAUCUAACCUUUUUUUUUUUCUUUUGUACAUGAAUUAUCCAAAAUAGGAGAACCAAUCAACAACACCCAACUCACCUCCACAAAGGACCAAGUGGCGUCACAGAAAAACAUAUCUCUUGCACACUUCAUCUCCCUCAAACUCUUCCACAGUUAAUGUUUUCCCUGCAGAGUCUGAACCAAACUUGAAGCAUUUCUCCUAACCUUCUCAUUAUCAUCCUCUACCAAGCCCAUACAAAUCUCUAAGACCCCUUCUUUCAUCGUCUCCAAACACAUCCCAUCCCCAUUGCUACACAGCGAAUUCAGAGUCAUCAGUGCAUACUGUACACCCCGCGAGCUUCCAUUUCUCAAAACACGCACCAAAAUCNNNN
rnacentral:lncRNA from 1 species